rnacentral:lncRNA from 1 species
GAGAGAGAUCAUGUGGUAUCUGCCUUUCUGUGCCUGGUUUAUUUCACUUAGCCUUAUGUCCUCCAGGCUCAUCCAUGUUGCUGUGAAUGACAGGAUUUCAUUCUUUUCCCACGAGUUUUUAAUCUUGUUAAGGACAUUUUAACUGUCAUUAACUACAGUGUAUAUUGUCUCUGCUUCUAGACUGUCAUCUCCUCAAGGACUAUGUGUUUUAGCUAAAUUCCUUGCAUGCAGUGGGCCUUAGAAGCUGGGCAAUUUCAGAAAUGAAAAUCACACUGUGAAAGUUAUUCACAGUUUAGUAUUAAGUGAAAGAAGUUAAGUGGGAAGCUAAUUUGCUCAUUUUAAAAAAUGGGGCUACUUGGGAAAAUAUUUUAAAUGGCAUUUUAAGUGUUGGGAUUUCAGGUGAAAUUUCUUAUCUUAUUUUUGUUUUUUGGUUUUCUUCAUUUUCUGCCAUGAAUAUUAUUUGUUUUGUAAUGAAAAGGUAUAUAUAAAAAAUUGAUUGUGAGUUCAAACAAUGCUAUCUGUCAGCAUUAAGCAUGAAAGUACACUAAAGAAACAUUUUGGUCUUGGUUUGGCUGCUAUUUUACAAAAGCAUUCACUAAUUUUUUUUUUUUUUUGAAUGAGAAAACAUUUAUUCCAUCUCCAAACAGCAUCCCAGGGCCGGGCAUCUCCCCUACGACUUUAUAAUACACUCGGCACAGACAGAGUUUGGGAGCCAUGGGACACCUCUGCCCUCCCCAGGCUUCCUAAGUAACAACUGCAGAAUAUUUACAUAAAGCUGGGUGUUGUCAGGCAAAGCCAUUCCCUGCUGCCAGGGGUGGGAGCAAGAAGGAAGUGCCAUGAGCACCAGCCCCGCCUUCACACCGUGGGAGGCAGCCCAGAGGCCACCGGCACAGGGUGGUGGCCCCCAGAUCAUACAGCAGUGGACACAGGGGAAGCAAACCUGAGUGAGGACACAAGAGCCUGGUCCGGCUCCGCUGCACAGGAUUGCCACCAGUUCACUGAGAGGAGUCAUUGAAAACAUGGCAUUGAGGACAGAGACUGCCACUUCAGAAUUUUCUACAUCCAACUGCUGAAGCCACUCGAAGAUAUUUCCCUCAGAGAACCAUAACCAGCUUUGGAGAAGAUGCUUCCACAUAGCUUGUUUCACAGCAUCUCAUCUCUCAUUAAAACCUUGUUGAGGGAGCAUUACUGUCUGAGCAAUGGACAUAGCUCUCAUACGAACCUUUUCAGCUAACACCGGAUAAGCCAGCUUUCUGACAGCCUCUUUCACAUCCUUGGUGCACCCUACAAUUUUUGGCAAAGUCUUUGCUGAUGGUGCAAUACAUGAUAA